UAGCGGCGGACGGGUGAGUAAUGCUUAGGAAUCUGCCUAUUAGUGGGGGACAACAUUCCGAAAGGAAUGCUAAUACCGCAUACGCCCUACGGGGGAAAGCAGGGGAUCUUCGGACCUUGCGCUAAUAGAUGAGCCUAAGUCAGAUUAGCUAGUUGGUGGGGUAAAGGCCUACCAAGGCGACGAUCUGUAGCGGGUCUGAGAGGAUGAUCCGCCACACUGGGACUGAGACACGGCCCAGACUCCUACGGGAGGCAGCAGUGGGGAAUAUUGGACAAUGGGCGCAAGCCUGAUCCAGCCAUGCCGCGUGUGUGAAGAAGGCCUUUUGGUUGUAAAGCACUUUAAGCGAGGAGGAGGCUACUGGGAUUAAUACUCUAGGAUAGUGGACGUUACUCGCAGAAUAAGCACCGGCUAACUCUGUGCCAGCAGCCGCGGUAAUACAGAGGGUGCGAGCGUUAAUCGGAUUUACUGGGCGUAAAGCGUGCGUAGGCGGCUUUUUAAGUCGGAUGUGAAAUCCCUGAGCUUAACUUAGGAAUUGCAUUCGAUACUGGGAAGCUAGAGUAUGGGAGAGGAUGGUAGAAUUCCAGGUGUAGCGGUGAAAUGCGUAGAGAUCUGGAGGAAUACCGAUGGCGAAGGCAGCCAUCUGGCCUAAUACUGACGCUGAGGUACGAAAGCAUGGGGAGCAAACAGGAUUAGAUACCCU
rnacentral:rRNA from 1 species